rnacentral:rRNA from 1 species
GAUGAACGCUAGCGGGAGGCCUAACACGUGCAAGCCGAGCGGUAUUGUUUCUUCGGAAAUGAGAGAGCGGCGUACGGGUGCGUAACACGUGUGCAACCUGCCUUUAUCUGGGGGAUAGCCUUUCGAAAGGAAGAUUAAUACUCCAUAAUAUAUUGAACGGCAUCGUUUAAUAUUGAAAGCUCCGGCGGAUAGAGAUGGGCACGCGCAAGAUUAGCUAGUUGGUGAGGUAACGGCUCACCAAGGCGAUGAUCUUUAGGGGGCCUGAGAGGGUGAUCCCCCAAACUGGUACUGAGACACGGACCAGACUCCUACGGGAGGCAGCAGUGAGGAAUAUUGGUCAAUGGGUGCAAGCCUGAACCAGCCAUCCCGCGUGAAGGACGACUGCCCUAUGGGUUGUAAACUUCUUUUGUAUAGGGAUAAACCUACCCUCGUGAGGGUAGCUGAAGGUACUAUACGAAUAAGCACCGGCUAACUCCGUG